UACGUAGGGUGCGAGCGUUGCCCGGAUUUAUUGGGCGUAAAGGGCGCGCAGGCGGUACGGCACGUCCGUUGUGAAAUCGCUCGGCUCAACUGGGCGGGGUCAGCGGAUACGGCCGCACUUGAGCAAGCUAGGGGGCAAUGGAAUUCCCGGUGUAGUGGUGGAAUGCGUAGAUAUCGGGAGGAACACCAGUGGCGAAGGCGGUUGCCUGGAGCUUUGCUGACGCUGAGGCGCGGAAAGCGUGGGGAGCGAUCCGG
rnacentral:rRNA from 1 species